ACCCCGUGCAUAUCCGGGUUAUGAUAUGCAUCCUCCCUGUUGGACUGGCCGGGCCUCGUGCCCGGCCUUUUUU
rfam:Rhodobacteraceae bacterium O3.65 TRIHO_contig000008, whole genome shotgun sequence.